rnacentral:misc_RNA from 1 species
UUUCCGUAGGUGAACCUGCGGAAGGAUCAUUAUAGAAAUCCUGCUCUAACGGGUAGACCCCCAACCCUGUUGAUUUAUACCUUGUUGCUUCGGGAGGCCGUCUAGGCUUCGGCUUGGCCAUGGGCUUCGGCUCUUGAGCGCCGGUCAGAAGAAACCUAAACUCUUGAUAUAAUUGGCGUCUGUGUAAAAACUUAAUAAGUUAAAACUUUCAACAACGGAUCUCUUGGUUCUG